AUGUGGCCAGGAGCGGACAAUGAGGAGAAACACCUACAGAAGUGGAACCUCCAGGACGUGAAUGCAGAAGAGGAGAGGAAAGAGGAAUUCAAAAAUCCCUUAGAGGGCAGUGGGGUCAUCGAGCAAAACACAGAAGGGAAGCGGAGGGAACGUUGGAGAAUAGGACGACUUUGCAAGGAGUCUCCAAGGAAGAUGGGCUGGGCCCUCCUGCUUAGAGCUUCUCUUGUUUCACCGCCAUCGUCCAUCCUGGGUGGGAUUUACGCACGUGGAGGAACAGAAAAGAGAGAAAAAACACCUAUAGUCCGAUUGACCAGGGGCCUCCUGUGGCUGAUCCAAAUAGAUGAGAUUCAGGGUCUGCACGUAAGCCGGGAGGGCGAUUUCUAUCCAAAUGACACAUCUUCAGACUCACUUGAAUCUCGUGCAGCACUGGCCAGCCUGGGUGUGCAGCCUGGCGGGCAGCCCGGGCUGGAGAACAGGACAGAGCCCUGGGAAGCCUGCAGGAGUGUUUGGUUUCCAGCAAGCUUCGCUUGGUUUAUCUAUUUAUCAAAUCCAAGGCCGCGGGCGGCUUCCUGCCGCUGUUCAUUAAUAACUAUACCGAACACAGGCUCCUCGGAGGCAACCGGGGAAGCCCGUCCCAGGGCACAGGCUGGCAGCGUGCUGCGCCUCUGGAUGUGUGCCAGGCCGUCUGAGAAACCCCGGGGGGAGGAGCGGCUCCUCCUUACCCAGCUCCUUCCACGGGCCGUGAACCCCACUGGGGUCCCCUCGCCCAGUCUUUGCAGGGGGGCUGCCUGGCUCAGCUUCAGCAGGGGCAAGAGAAGACAAGCAGGGUGGACCAUCAGAGGCAGGAGAAGCUGCACCAUCACCCAGGAAACUGAGGCCCAGAGGGGACAGGAAACACCUGCGCCAGGCGGUUUGGGAAGUUGGAUGCAGAGCUGGGACUGGAAUCCUGUUUUCUGGGGGCCUCCUGGGGCAGGGAAUCUUUCCCCUGUGCUCCGAGUGUGUAACUGCGUUAUCACCCACAGUGGAGACUGCAGCCUUUGA
rnacentral:lncRNA from 1 species